GAGCGGAGAUAUAUGGAGCUUGCUUUAUAUAACUUAGCAGCGAACGGGUGAGUAACACGUAGAUAAUCUAUCCUAUACUGGGGGAUAGCCCGAUGAAAGUUGGAUUAAUACCGCAUAUAGCUAUAUAGUUGCAUGAUUAUGUAGUGAAAGAUUUAUUGGUAUAGGAGGAGUCUGCGGCACAUUAGCUAGUAGGUGAGGUAAAGGCUUACCUAGGCGACGAUGUGUAGCCGGUCUGAGAGGAUGAACGGCCACAAUGGAACUGAGACACGGUCCAUACUCCUACGGGAGGCAGCAGUGGGGAAUAUUGCACAAUGGGGGAAACCCUGAUGCAGCAACGCCGCGUGAGUGAAGAAGGUUUUCGGAUUGUAAAGCUCUGUUAGCAGGGAAGAGGAAGGACGGUACCUGCAGAGGAAGCCACGGCUAACUACGUGCCAGCAGCCGCGGUAAUACGUAGGUGGCAAGCGUUGUUCGGAAUAACUGGGCGUAAAGGAUGCGUAGGCGGUUAAACAAGUUAUAUGUUAAAUAUAUAGGCUUAACCUGUAGAAAGCAUAUAAAACUGUUUAACUAGAGUGCAGGAGAGGUAAGUGGAAUUCCUAGUGUAGCGGUGAAAUGCGUAGAGAUUAGGAAGAACACCAGUGGCGAAGGCGACUUACUGGACUGUAACUGACGCUGAGGCAUGAGAGCAUGGGGAGCAAACAGGAUUAGAUACCCUGGUAGUCCAUGCUGUAAACGAUGGGUACUAGGUGUGGGUUGUGAAUAACAAUUCGUGCCGUCGCAAACGCAAUAAGUACCCCGCCUG
rnacentral:rRNA from 1 species